UACCAGCUCUCCGAGUGGUAGGGAUGAUUAUUGGGCUUAAAGCGUCCGUAGCCGGCUUAGCAAGUCUCCUGUUAAACUCAGCGACCUAAUCGUUGAAUCGCGGGAGAUACUACUAGGCUAGGAGGCGGGAGAGGUCGACGGUGCUUCUGGGGUAGGGAUGAAAUCCUAUAAUCCCGGGAAGACCACCAGUGGCGAAGGCUGUCGACUAGAACGCGCUCGACGGUGAGGGACGAAAGCUGGGGUAGCGAACCGGAUUAGAUACCCGGGUAGUCCCAGCUGUAAACGAUGCGGGCUAGGUGUUGGGAUGGCUACGGGCCAUUUCAGUGCCGCAGGGAAGCCAUUAAGCCCGCCGCCUGGGGAGUACGGCCGCAAGGCUGAAACUUAAAGGAAUUGGCGGGGGAGCACCACAAGGCGUGAAGCUUGCGGUUC
rnacentral:rRNA from 1 species